UACAGAGGAUGCAAGCGUUAUCCGGAAUUAUUGGGCGUAAAGAGCGUGUAGGCGGCCAGAUAAGUCCGCUGUGAAAUCUCGAGGCUCAACUUCGAGCUGUCGGUGGAAACUAUCUGGCUAGAGUCCGGAAGAGGAGAAUGGAAUUCCUGGUGUAGCGGUGAAAUGCGCAGAUAUCAGGAAGAACACCCGUGGCGAAGGCGGUUCCCUGGGACGGUACUGACGCUGAGACGCGAAAGCGUGGGGAGCGAACAGG
rnacentral:rRNA from 1 species